AGUGACGGUUAACGGGGGAUUAGGGUUCGAUUCCGGAGAGGGAGCCUGAGAAACGGCUACCACAUCUAAGGAAGGCAGCAGGCGCGCAAAUUACCCAAUUCUAACAGCAUAAGAGAGGUAGUGACAAGAAAUAACAAUACAAGGUAAUUAAAUUGCUUUGUAAUUGGAAUGAUAGAAAUUUAAACACUUUUUAAAGUAUCAAUUGGAGGGCAAGUCUGGUGCCAGCAGCCGCGGUAAUUCCAGCUCCAAUAGCGUAUAUUAAAAUUGUUGCAGUUAAAAAGCUCGUAGUUGAAUUUCUGUUAAAAAUAACCGGUCUGCUUUUAUUAAAAGUGGUAUCUUGGUGUGUUUUUAGCAAUAAUGUCCUUUGAAAUGUUUUUUACUUUAUUGUAAUAAGUCAUUAUUUUGAGGAUUUUUACUUUGAGAAAAUUAGAGUGUUUCUAGCAGGCUUACGCUUUUGAAUACUGCAGCAUGGAAUAAUAAGAUAGGAUUUUAGUUCUACAUUAUUGGUUUUAAGAACUAAAUUAAUGAUUGAUAGGGAUAGUUGGGGGCAUUUGUAUUUAACUGUCAGAGGUGAAA
rnacentral:rRNA from 1 species